GUUUGGGGGAUUUACACAGUUAACAAAAUGAUAAUGUAUGUCUGCUUUGUAUUGUUGAUGUUUGCUGAUAGAAGUAACUUAUUGUCUAUUAAUCAAUUUAAAUGAGAUAGACCUAGACCCCCUGAAUGUAGUUUGGUUCAGCCCAGGCUAAUUGUUGAGUAGAGAAAGGGACUAUUUAAGCAGUUUAUGCUUCUCAGCUGAGAGAGACACGAUGAUUUUUUUUGUUGUUGUUGUCGGAGCUUUUGGGGGAAUUCUGUAAGAAAGUUAUGUGGUGUCAUUAUUAAAUUUAUAAACGAACCUGGUUUAGCCAAAAAAAGAUAUUUUACUUCAUAAUCUCCUGAUGCCAGGGGCGGAUGAACCAGGGUGGCAACUGCCUUUACACCCCAGUUUUAGGCAGUUUAAUUCAAAAACCUCUAAAUAAAAGGUUGUGGCCGGUCGGAGGUUUACAAGAGUGAGACUCCGAUGUCCGAGUGCAAUGGAAUGCAGCAUGAGAAGACGGUCCCCAUAGACCCCUAGGUUCUACAGGUUGCACAACCCCCACCCCCCCACCCCCCAACAGGAGCCGCGACUACCAGUUACUAGGCCGUACAUCCAAGGAAGGAGUCUAGAUCCACCCCUGCCUGAUGCACACUCCAGUCCAAUUGAUGGUAGUAAUGCUCCUACAAGCUGGUUUGCCAACCGCCAAUAAAGAUGAUGACGAAGAAGCUGAUCAAUAAGGACGUCUGUUCAGGUCGCAGUGGCAGCAGACUAAGGAUAUUCCAGACGUCCCGGCUCCUGGGGGAUCCCGUUGCGUUUGCAGACCAGAGAGGAUACAGCACAGAGAUGGCAGAGCUGCGUGGAGAGAGAAGAGAAGAAGAGAGAAAGUCCAGCAGAGAUGAAAUGACAGCGCGACGCAGAGGCAGCGAGGCACAGGCCGUGGCUUUUCUCAGAGAUGAACAUUAAUAAUAUGACUCGCCACAAUGGAAGCACUGAGAUCAGAGAGAUCACCUCCAUUGUCCCACCGUCUCCUACUGACACCCACCGCUCUGGUGAAGGAAGAAUAAGAAGAAUAGAGGCGAAUAACCUGGCCGCUCACCAUGCCCCUCUUUUUAAAAUACAUAAUGGCCUGUGCUCCUCCGCUUUGCCUUUUUAAGUCUGUGAUGUGUUUCGCCGUGAUGAGCAGAGAUGUAGAGAUACUUUGCCCUGCAUACUUCAAGAGCAUCACAUGAAAAAGCAAGAGGACCCGCUGGCUGAGGCCAGAUGAUUUAGACAUCUAUUAUACGCUUGAACGCCCUGUCUUCUUCACUCCAUCAUAGACCAUCCCUCAGCAGAACAGGCCCAGAUGCCAGAAGGACCCUAAUGAGAUUAGGCUGCGGACAGGAGGUGAGAAAAUUGACAGCAGGUUUGAUGGAUGACCUCCAGUCAACUCUCCUUCUCCAUCACCUCCCCUCUCCAUCCUUCCUUCUCCUCCUCUCUCCGUCCCUCUCCUCUGGCUCUCCUUAUCCCCUCCAUGCAUAACAUAGCGUCCCCUGGGCAGGCCCGGACAGGGGGCCGGUCUGGGAGGCCAGACCCAGAAACAAAGCACUCUCUGCCAUUCGAAUGUCCUCCCCCCAGGGCGCUGUCCUCCAGGGAGAGUGCUCUCUGCUGGGCCGGGGCUGUUAAUAAGCUGCUAAUGAGGAAACAGACCUCUAUUCUCUGCUAACAUCAAGACAGAUGGACGCACACGAUAUGUUUGUUUUAAACUUCCUUACUGUAUGACGGAUUAGAAGGAAGAAAAGCUCUGAUUGGUCUGGGCGGCUAGAGUUGGAGGCGUGUGAUUGGUAGUGAUUUUUAUGUCAUUAUCAAUAAUUAAAGUAAGAUUAAUUUUAAGAAAUUAAAAAAGCAAUAUCAUUGUGUGGUUGGUAACUACUACAAGGUCUCUCUGCUUUGUUUUCUCCUUUCUUUAUGACACACAACAGCACAAGGGUCACUAUUUCUCCUGGAGAAGCUUUUGUUAGCGCUUUUUACUCAUCAUGAUUUUAUCUUUUCACACUGUCUGACAUUAUCUAUAAAAAGUAGA